rnacentral:rRNA from 1 species
CCUACGGGAGGCAGCAGUGAGGAAUAUUGGUCAAUGGACGAGAGUCUGAACCAGCCAAGUAGCGUGAAGGAUGACUGCCCUAUGGGUUGUAAACUUCUUUUAUAUGGGAAUAAAAUGUUCCACGUGUGGGAUUUUGUAUGUACCAUAUGCAUAAGGAUCGGCUAACUCCGUGCCAGCAGCCGCGGUAAUACGGAGGAUCCGAGCGUUAUCCGGAUUUAUUGGGUUUAAAGGGUGCGUAGGUGGGUUGUUAAGUCAGUUGUGAAAGUUUGGGGCUUAACCGUAAAAUUGCAGUUGAAACUGGCAGUCUUGAGUACAGUAGAGGUGGGCGGAAUUCGUGGUGUAGCGGUGAAAUGCUUAGAUAUCACGAAGAACUCCGAUUGCGAAGGCAGUUCACUGGACUGCAACUGACACUGAGGCUCGAAAGUGUGGGUAUCAAACAGGAUUAGAUACCCCAGUAGUC